GUCUGAGCGUGACUUCCGGCAUCUUGCUCGCGGUGGACAUUUUGUCAGUUCUUGGCUUGCUUUACCUGAGCCGAUGUUCCGGAGCCCUGGGUCGGGUUCAAGGUUAACAGGAGCCGGUAGGUGAGCGGGAAAACGUUGUCUCCCUUGCACAGAGGUAAUCAUGAGACUUCACGGGUGGUGGGGCCUGGAGUGACCUCGCCGCCUCCAAGGCCGGACUGGGGACGGUGGUGCCCGCGUUCCGAUCUGACCGCUCGCUUCUCACCGCCGGAUACAGUCCAGAGGCUCCUUUGGCAGCGUCCGCAGUGAUGUACCCAGCGUUCCCCAGGACCUCAUCCGUCCCGAUUCCCAACUCCGAAUUAUCAAGUCUCGAAUAAGGGGCGCUUGCUCAGGUCAUUGCAGCCCCAGUAUCCAGUAUCCAGGACAGUGAGGAGAUCUAUGGGACGAACCAGAGAAAAUACAUGUUGAGAAUUUUUCAAGUAUGAAAAGAUUGAAAGUAAAAGCACAUGUAAAAUUUGCAGCACAGAUACGAUUGGAGACCAUGUAGAGAAUUUGGAGAGGCACCUGAAGCUUCACCAUAUGGAUGAAUACAAUGUAGUGCAAAGCAAGAUAACAAAGAAGAUUGAAGAAAGUGUCAAAAGUGUUCUGAAUAAGCAACAUGCCCUGAAGACCACAAUCUGGUACACGGGUCACUGGCUGUAAGACAUACAACAUCCAGUAAGGAAAUCAAAUUGGUACAGAAACACUAGGGGGUGAAAAAUAGAUACUGGGGGAGACUGCAGCAAACUAGAGAGAAUGUGCCCAUUGUAAAAGCGCAUCCACAAACAUUCCAGUCACUAUGGCUGUAUGGGAUGAGAGUAUACAGAAAUUUUCAGGCUCUCUAGAGUUGUGUCACUGUUAACGGCCAAUGUCACUGGCAGAGCAAAGAAUGUAAAGGUUUCUUGGAUUCUUGUUGCCUCUGUGGGCUGUUUACCUGGUGUCUUUGCUGCACAGGCCAGAACCCUAAGACUGAGAGAAGAAUGUCUUGUAGUCCAGGGAUGUAGCGUUGGUGACCCAGUCAGAGUUCCUGAUGAGUGCUUACCAGAUUUUCCUGCCACUGAGGAAGAGGUGCCCGUCCCAGGCAAGAGCUGCGAGAUGGUGGAAUCACCAUAUGGUUGCCCGGUCUUCUAAGUUUCCAAUAGAAGUUGGAAAUCCAGAUUUUUAUGUGGAGUCAUUUUUUAUAAGAGCUAGGGCUGCUAGCCAAAAGGUCUGUGGUUCGAAUCCACCAGCCACUCCUUGGAAACCCUACCGGGCAGUUUUACUCUGUCCUGUAGGAUCACUAUGAAUAGGAAUCUGCUCGAUGGUAAAGGGUUUUAUUUUUGUUAUUAUUGAGGUGUAAUCAACAUGGAAUAACCUGCACAUACUUAGAAGUAUAUAAUUCAGUAAAUAAAUUUUGGUAUAUGUGCACACCUGUGAAACCAUUACCCUAGCCAUGAUAAAGAAUAUAUCCAUCACUCCCAAAUUUACUGUGUAUCCCUUCAUAACCCCUCUUUCCCGGUCCUUCCAACCUCUCCUCCCUAAGCAGCCGUUGCUUUACUUUGACUAUAGAUAAAUUUGCAUUUUCUAAAAUUAUAUGUAAAUGGAAGCAUGAAGUGGUUACUUUUUUUGGUCUGCUGUCAUACAGCAGAAUUAUUUUGAGCUCUAUCCAUGUUGUGUGUAUGAUGGCUCAUUGUCUAUUGCUGAGUAGUAAAUACUGUAUAAAGAGCCUUGAUGGUGCAACAGUUAAGUGCUUACCUGCUAACCAGAAGGUUGGCAGUUGGAACCCACCCCACUGCUCUGCAGGCGAAAGACCUGGUGAUCUGCUCCCAGAAAGAUUACAGCCAAGAAAACCCUAUGAGGGCAGUUCUACUGUGUUAUAUCGGGUCCCUGUGAGUUGAAAAUCUACUUAAUGGCUACUGACAACCACAAGAAAUGUUCUAUUGUAUGGACCAAACAUUCAACUUGGACUGAACAUUCUGCAUUCUGUUGGCCACCAGAUGGUGAGACCGAGGCUCUUUAGGCAAGAGAGGCAAAUCCAUGGACUAGGCAUCUAUCCCUCUAAGGAUGAACUGCUGGCCAUCCUAGGGUGGAGUGCCCAGUGAAGUAGACUUGACUGCAAAUGUCCAGGUGGAUCUCCUUGAGGAAUAUUGGCACGUCAGAGGCUCAACAUCGUUCUGCUGCCCCCUGCUUCAUGGCCGGCUCUGCAACUGGUACACUUGCUACUGCUGCUUCAACACCCAUGGCAGUCCGCUGCACCUGCCUCAGUGCCACCUCAGAGCCUCCUGCAACAUCCACCUGCCGCUAGAUCCCCUUUCCGUAUAAUCCUCGCUCUCCUCCACCUGUCCCUUCCCUGGGGCAACUCUCCACACGGUCUUGCCCUACUGACCCACCUGGCACCUCGUGGCCCUCCGAGCUCAACCUACUGCCAAUGGCCCGAUGGCCUAUACCCCAGUGCCUCAACUUUUCAGCUGUGCACUUGCCUACAAGCCCGGCCCGAGGUCAAUGUCUGUCCCCACCUUGUGGAACUGUCCAUUCCCUGCAGAAAUGCUUUCUAGUCCCCUUGUGAAAACUAGCCUCAGGCAGGACCUUUUACCCUCCGCACUGGGGAAGGAUUUCUCUCUCGUCUGGGCACACUGUUGAUGUUGCCCCCAAACUUGGCCCUCUCUCCUAGCGGGAAAGGUGUACAGGUAUUCCCUGACUUAAUGUGUUUGGGUUACCAUGAACUGCAGGACCUAACUAAGACUGUCCAAUUUUUGUUUUUGUACCUCGUAUCGUUAGUAAUAUGUACUGCAUACAGUGUUGCAGCAUGUAAUUUGCUGAUGUCAUUCUCAAAUGUUCACUCACAGAUGUUCAGUAUUUAUGAUUUACUGGUUGGAUUUAUAAAGAUACUGAUAAUAAAAAGCAGUAAUAAUGAAAACAAAGUAUUCGACUUCCCUCAGAACUGACUGACGAUGGAGUCUUUGGAACAGAACCCCAUUGUAAGUCGGGGACUACCUGUAGUUGUAUAGGCCAGCCUCCAUCUUAGAUGGUGCCUUGGCAUCCAUGUUGGGCCCCUUUCUCACUCUUGUCAGCAAGUGUGCCACACCCUACUGCAGCUAGUUGCCCUGGAUAACUGUGGUUUUCCACUUUGCUUCACAGCUGCCCCAUUUAAUUUUUGUAGCCACUCUCCCUAGUUGCAAAAAGACCAAUGGUCACUUACCCCACAAAAAUAUCCCCACAUCUCACCUUCAGACCCUAAUAAAGGGUGUGCCCCAGGUCCACACUCUCCACCCAGACCUCCCUGCGUUUGCUGAGACCUACAGGCUCGCUGUGUACACCUAGGACCUGUGAGUAAUAAAGUUAUUUCCGUUUUUGUGUCUUGUGAUUAAAGGGUGACUUUCCAUCUGGGACAAUAGACAUAACCUGAGCUGUGGGAGGUUGCUCCCUGUUACCCAUCCUUCAAGGUUAACAGCUGAGUUGAAAUCAAACACUGAGGACACUAAGCCAUGACUGUUCUCCAGCUGCCUUUUAAAUCAGUAUCAUCUAGUAAACCAAAAACCACCUUCAGGAAGGCAUUCCCAGUGCAAACCGCUGUGUAGGGAAUUCAGCCUGUGCACUUUUCCCCACCGAUCCCCCAGCAGGCUCUACUUCACAAGUCACCACCCAUCACACUUUCAUGGGAUCUCUUGGUGCUUCCUUUCCUCUAACUUCUGUUUCCUGCCAUCCCCUCACAUAGGUAAGACACCUCUCUUUUGGGUCCCAUGUCCGUUUUUUACCAUUUGCCUGUCUAACCCGUCCCUCUCCACACUGUUCCUUUACAGGCCUCCCUCACAAUUAGUUGAAAGGGUGCUUCCUAUUGUCCAGAAUGGCGUCUUUCAUUUUUCUGAAUUCACUCAGGAGUGUUGCCCUGUGACUAGAAUCACCCUGAACAACGAAUUUUCUCAUGAGGCUGGGCCAAACAAAAUCAGAGAGGUAGAAGGAAAUGUCAAAGGACAACAGGACAGAAAGCAAAAAACUACCAGGUAGGGACUGAGGAGAACUCAGGGCUGAAUGUGGCUUAUGUCCAAUAGGGUCCUUCCCAGGGGCCAGUGAGAAGUAUCAGGGAAGAGCAAACCCCAAAAACCAAACCCAGUGCUGUUGAGUCGAUUCUGACUCAUAGCGACCCUACAGGACAGGGUAGAACUGCCCCAUAGAGUUUCCAGGGAGCACCUGGCGGAUUCGAACUGCUGACCCUUUGGUUAGCAGCUGUAGCACUUAACCACUACACCACCAGGGUUUCCUCAGGGAAUAGGGGCCCAUAGACAUCCAGAUCUCUCCAGGAACCGAGUCCUAAGAGGAAACAACGACUAGGGUUAGGAUUAGUCUCUAGUGGAAAAGGGAGUCCUUUUUGGGUUAACCCCUCAUACUUGUGACCGUGACUGUGACCUUGUUUGGAAAUUGGAUCUUUGAAGAUGCCCUCAGUUAAUACAAGGUCACCACCCCAUGUGUGACAGAGUACAACUGCUCCACAGGGUUUUUGGCUGUAAUCUUUACAGAAGCAGGGCGCUGUUUAGUGGGUUUGAACCGCCAACUUUUAGGUUGGUAGUGAAGCACAAACCAUUUGUACCACCCAAGGACCUCACUCUAGUGGAAAAUGGACUGAGGUCCAAGCCUAGGGGGAGAGCUAGAGUGGGGGUGGGCAUUGUCCUGCUGGGCAGUCUCCUGGGGAGUAGACCAAGGACAAGCAAGGGAAAUGGCUCAACAUCCAAGGGAGAACUUGACGGCCACCGAGUUGGACUCGAGGUACUUGCACUGAGGCCCGUCCGGCUGGGAUCUCGCAGGAGGUAGGGCAGGAGAGCGACCAGGGUGGCGCUCGCACCUGGCCUGGCCGCGUGGUGACUGAAGAGGCAGGCAGGAGCCGGUAGACACCUUGGCUCUGACAGGCCAUAGCAAGCCGCAG